rnacentral:rRNA from 1 species
AUUGAACGCUGGCGGCAUGCUUUACACAUGCAAGUCGAACGGUAACAGGCCGCAAGGUGCUGACGAGUGGCGAACGGGUGAGUAAUGCAUCGGAACGUGCCCAGUCGUGGGGGAUAGCUACUCGAAAGAGUAGCUAAUACCGCAUACGAUCUAUGGAUGGAAGCGGGGGACCGUAAGGCCUCGCGCGAUUGGAGCGGCCGAUGUCAGAUUAGGUAGUUGGUGGGGUAAAGGCUCACCAAGCCAACGAUCUGUAGCUGGUCUGAGAGGACGACCAGCCACACUGGGACUGAGACACGGCCCAGACUCCUACGGGAGGCAGCAGUGGGGAAUUUUGGACAAUGGGCGCAAGCCUGAUCCAGCAAUGCCGCGUGCAGGAAGAAGGCCUUCGGGUUGUAAACUGCUUUUGUACGGAACGAAACGGCUCUGGUUAAUACCCGGGGCUAAUGACGGUACCGUAAGAAUAAGCACCGGCUAACUACGUG